GCGCUGCUGAGGGGUCCCAUAAUAGGACGAAACGGCCGUCCAGUGC
rnacentral:hammerhead_ribozyme from 1 species